rfam:Schistosoma rodhaini strain Burundi genome assembly, scaffold: SROB_scaffold0000628
AUCUGGCUAACUAGUCCCAAAUAGGACGAAACGCCUGUCCUGGAU